rnacentral:tRNA from 2 species
GCGUUCAGAGAUCAAUUCAAUAAUACCAGGGGACUUAUAUUCCCUUGGUCGCAGCUUCGAGUCCUGCCGGGCUCACCA